CAAGUUGUUGCGGGAAGGUGCGGCGGCCGCGGUGAUUCAGCGCUGGGUUCGCACCGAGUUCAAGCGAUGGCUUCAAAACGGCAGGCCGUCUCGGCUCCGCAUGGCUACAUCGCCAUCGAACAGCCAGCGCUGGAUCGACGAGGACUACGGCGCCGUAUUCAGCACGGUGCUCGAAGACCCCAGUGUUAGCGCCGACGCACUGCGGCCUCCAGGAGCUGAGCAUUGCUCCGAAGACGAGCUUUUCUCCUACGGGAAGCGCCCCUCGGAAAGCAUUGACCAAGGUGGCGAAGCCGAAGCAUCGUUUCGAGUUCGCGAGUGCCGUACAGGACUUUCGCCUUCCUCGGCGAAGCUUCAGAAGGCUGCACUGAGGUUGAAAUCGCCCGCAGUGCAUUGUGGUAAAAAGAGCUUGGUAUCGAUGCACCAUUGAAUUUCGUAUGUGUAGGUCACAAUGUUUGCGCAGUUAUUUAACUGGUCGAUGAAAAAGCGCGAGAAAAUCCCGAAAUUCUCGCUACAGCAUUACUGCGCUCUGUCAGUUAUAAAAGUAAAGUAUUUUUGUCCCUUU